rfam:Aureimonas altamirensis strain ON-56566 NODE_1, whole genome shotgun sequence.
GCCCUUUUCAUUUGCCGCGCACAUGCCUAUAUUCGCGGCGUCGGGCUUGACCCGACUAUGGCGAUAAACUGCCGAUGAAAUAAACCAUUCGGACCCGGGGGCGGUACCCGGCGCCUCCACCUGAACCCCUGCCCUCGCAGGGGCUGAGGCGGGGGCGAAAUAGGAUCGACGAGGGUGUAAAGAUCGGACUUUUGCUCGGCAUGGUACCGCCGUUAUCGGGCUGUUAAAAUAGUUGCCAACGACAACUAUGCGGAAGCACGUCUCGCCGCUUAAUGCGGUGCGAUAGCUUCAAUUAAGCCCUGGGGGUUCGCACCUUCAGGCGGGGCCCGGAGGCGCCUGGCAACAGAAGCCUCCACU